rnacentral:rRNA from 1 species
GGAAAAGAAAUCAACCGAGAUUCCCUCAGUAGCGGCGAGCGAACGGGGACCAGCCCUUAAGCUGGACAACUGGUAGGAGAAGGCCCUGGAAAGAGCCGCCAUAGUGGGUGAUAGCCCCGUAUCCGAAACCUGAGUCCAGUGAAAUCGAGUAGGACGGGACACGAGACAUCCUGUCUGAACAUGGGGGGACCAUCCUCCAAGGCUAAAUACUCCUGACUGACCGAUAGUGAACCAGUACCGUGAGGGAAAGGCGAAAAGAACCCCUGUGAGGGGAGUGAAAUAGAUCCUGAAACCGUAUGCGUACAAGCAGUCGGAGCGGACUUGUUCCGUGACGGCGUACCUUUUGUAUAAUGGGUCAGCGACUUAUGUUCAGUGGCGAGGUUAACCGUUUAGGGGAGCCGUAGGGAAACCGAGUCUGAAUAGGGCGAUUUAGUCGCUGGGCAUAGACCCGAAACCGGGCGAUCUAUCCAUGAGCAGGUUGAAGGUUGAGUAACAUCAACUGGAGGACCGAACCCACUGUCGUUGAAAAGCCAGGGGAUGACUU